UACAGAGGGUGCUAGCGUUGUUCGGAAUUAUUGGGCGUAAAGGGCGCGUAGGCGGCCCUGUGUGUCGGGUGUGAAAGCCCACCUCUUAAAGGUGGAAUUGCAUUCGAAACUACAGGGCUGGAGUGUCGGAGAGGAUGGCGGAAUUCCUGGUGUAGAGGUGAAAUUCGUAGAUAUGGGGAGGAACACCGGUGGCGAAGGCGGCUCUCUGGUACGUGACUGACGCUGAGACGCGAAAGCGUGGGGAGCGAACAGG
rnacentral:rRNA from 1 species